GUAGGUGAACCUGCGGAAGGAUCAUUAAUAGUGCCCUCUGAUGCAAAUCAUUGGGUUAGAUCUGCUCUCUUCGCAAGAAGAGGGUUUCCAUACACACCGUGAACUGUGGCUUCGGCCAUCACAAACUGUUAGUAAUGAAUGUAAUAUCAUAACAAAAACAAAACUUUUAACAACGGAUCUCUUGGCUCUC
rnacentral:misc_RNA from 1 species